rnacentral:rRNA from 1 species
UGGGGAAUUUUGGACAAUGGGCGAAAGCCUGAUCCAGCAAUGCCGCGUGUGUGAAGAAGGCCUUCGGGUUGUAAAGCACUUUUGUCCGGAAAGAAAUCCUUGGCUCUAAUACAGUCGGGGGAUGACGGUACCGGAAGAAUAAGCACCGGCUAACUACGUGCCAGCAGCCGCGGUAAUACGUAGGGUGCAAGCGUUAAUCGGAAUUACUGGGCGUAAAGCGUGCGCAGGCGGUUUGCUAAGACCGAUGUGAAAUCCCCGGGCUCAACCUGGGAACUGCAUUGGUGACUGGCAGGCUAGAGUAUGGCAGAGGGGGGUAGAAUUCCACGUGUAGCAGUGAAAUGCGUAGAGAUGUGGAGGAAUACCGAUGGCGAAGGCAGCCCCCUGGGCCAAUACUGACGCUCAUGCACGAAAGCGUGGGGAGCAAACAGGAUUAGAUACCCUGGUAGUCCACGCCCUAAACGAUGUCAACUAGUGUUGGGGAUUCAUUCCUUAGUAACGUAGCUAACGCGUGAAGUUGACCGCCU